rnacentral:rRNA from 1 species
GCACAAGCGGAGGAACAUGUGGUUUAAUUCGAUGGUACGCGAGGAACCUUACCUGGGCUUAAAUGUAGAGUGCAUUUUUUUAGAGAUAGAAAUUCCCUUCGGGGCUUUCUGCAAGGUGCUGCAUGGUUGUCGUCAGCUCGUGCCGUGAGGUGUCGGGUUAAGUCCCAUAACGAGCGCAACCCUUAUCGUUAGUUGCCAGCUGGUAAAGCAGGGGACUCUAGCGAAACUGCCACCGUAAGGUGAGAGGAAGGUGGGGAUGACGUCAAAUCAGCACGGCCCUUAUGUCCAGGGCUACACACGUGUUACAAUGGCCGGCACAGAGGGCAGCUACCUGGUGACAGGAUGCUAAUCUCGAAAACCGGUCUCAGUUCGGAUCGAAGUCUGCAACUCGACUUCGUGAAGCUGGAUUCGCUAGUAAUCGUGGAUCAGAAUGUCACGGUGAAUACGUUCCCGGGUCUU